rnacentral:rRNA from 1 species
GACGAACCGUGCAAACGUUAUUCGGAAUCACUGGGCGUAAAGAGCGCGCAGGCGGUCGUUCAAGUCGAGUGUGAAAGCCCCCGGCUCAACUGGGGAGGGUCAUUCGAUACUGAUCGACUGGAAGGCAGGAGAGGGAAGCGGAAUUCCCGGUGUAGUGGUGAAAUGCGUAGAUAUCGGGAGGAACACCAGUGGCGAAGGCGGCUUCCUGGCCUGUUCUUGACGCUGAGGCGCGAAAGCUAGGGGAGCAAACGGG